rnacentral:misc_RNA from 1 species
UCCGGUUUGUCACCGGCAGUCUCCCUAGAGUGCCCUUGCGUAGCAACUAGGGACAAGGGUUGCGCUCGUUGCGGGACUUAACCCAACAUCUCACGACACGAGCUGACGACAGCCAUGCAGCACCUGUGCAGGAUCUCUUGCGAGUCCCUCGGGUUUCCCAUCAGUACCACGUGCAUGUCAAGCCGAGGUAAGGUUCUUCGCGUUGCGUCGAAUUAAACCACAUGCUCCACCGCUUGUGCGGGCCCCCGUCAAUUCCUUUGAGUUUCAGCCUUGCGGCCGUACUCCCCAGGCGGGGUACUUCCUGCGUUAGCGCCGGCACCCAAGGGGUCGCUCCCCCAAGCACCUAGUACCCAUCGUUUACGGCGUGGACUAC